UGAGAUCAGCUCAACCCAGUCAUUCAGAGACUCCAGACAACUGAGGCAGCCUUCACCUUAUAGUGCAGAUGUAACUCCUAAAACAACUUGAGACAACCAUCAAAUCAAACCUCAGUAUAUUUUCCACAGUCUCACCCUUGGCCAGACUAGCCAGAAGAACCUAGAAGUGUAGAGGAAAAUUUUUUCCUCCCCUACAGUUGCGAUGAGGAUGGGAGACAACUUAACUGGCUGGACACAGCUUGCUCUGGAACUGCUGCAGCUGAGAGAUGCUGGACCUCUGACAAGAACUGUAGCGUGUCCCGUCUCACUGGUGUCUCUCC